rnacentral:rRNA from 1 species
AGAACGAACGCUGGCGGCGUGGCUAAGACAUGCAAGUCGAACGGAGUCUUCUGAAGGGCAACCGGAUGAAAAUUCAGUGGCGAACGGGUGCGUAACACGUGAGCAAUCUACCUCCAAGUGGGGAAUAGCUCGGCGAAAGCCGGAUUAAUACCGCAUACGGUCCUCCUUCGCAUGAAGGGGAAACCAAAGCCGGGGUCGCAAGACCUGGCGCUAAGAGAGGAGCUCGCGGCCUAUCAGCUAGUUGGCGGGGUAACGCCCACCAAGGCUAAGACGGGUAGCUGGUCUGAGAGGAUGAUCAGCCACACUGGAACUGAGACACGGUCCAGACACCUACGGGUGCAGCAGUUUCGAAUCAUUCACAAUGGGACGAAAGCCUGAUGGUGCGACGCCGCGUGGGGGACGAAGGUCUUCGGAUUGUAAACCCCUGUACACCGGGAACAAAAGUCGUCUGACUAAUACCAGCCGACUGAUUUAACCCGGAGAGGAAGCGAGUGGCUAACUCUGUGCCAGCACG